UUUGACACUUAAUAAAUUUUUUUCCUCAGUUUUCGAAAGCAAAACUCAAACACUUAAUGAAAUUUUUGUCCCUCCAAAUCCAAAACCCAGACUUAGCCUUCAUCUCGAUCCCUCCAAAUCCAAAGCUCACCAUCGAAGAAACACUCUCGCUACAGAAACCCUCUCACCCACCACUCACCGUCGCUUCUCUUCGCCCUCCUCCUCGUCGCUGUGCCGCCCUUACCAUCGUCUUCUCGUCGCUGCGCCGCCCUUACCUUCGCCAACCCUGUCGCGCACAACUCUCACCUUCGCCAUUCUUACCGUCGCUGUUGACCGUCGCCACCCAGUAACCACUCACCGUUCACCAUCGUCGCUCAUCACCUUUGCCAUUGUCACCACUGCACAGACCAUCGCUCUUCUUCGCCGUUCUGCACAAAUCAUCGCUGCGCCGCCCUCACCAUCGUCAUCUCCGUGCUUCUCAUCAUCGUCAUCUCCGUGUUGAUUAUGCCAAACUCACUAAGCUUCCCAAGAACCUUAUGGCAAAGGUUUCUACUAUGAAGAAUACAGAGCAGAUUUUAGAGCAACUUCCUCGGGUGAUAUCAUCUUUGGAUGCAUAUAUGGAUAAUGGAUUGCAAAAGUGAUAACCCGCUAGCAAGUGCAAGUAAACCUCGUUCAAAGUCAGGAGGGAGCUGACUGAAGCUUAAGAGGGAGCUGCGUUUCACUCACCCAACUGUUCUUCGAGUUUCUUUGCUAGAUGGGGCUGGUGAUGAUUUGUUUAAAGAGCUAUGGAGGCUGUGCAGGGCCAUUAAUGAAUGUUCCUUGUGUUCAAGACAGAGUUUUCUAUUUCCCUCAGGGUCACAUUGAAUUGUUGCCAGAACCUACAGAACAAUAUUUGAGGCAGAUGAAGAACCAGAAAUCUCCCAAAUACGAUCUUCC